GAAAACUGAAAUGUAAUUUUUAAAAUGUUGGAUAGAAACAAAAAUUUAACUUCUAUCUUCACAGGCCUGGAAAUGGCAGCUCUGUAGCAGUGAGAACCUGGAAUCUCUACUGUCCCUCCUGUCUCAACAAAGCAUGCUGAGAAUGGGGAUGRUGCUGGAUUUCCACUUGAUCUCAGCACUGCACUGGAAGCUAGCACCAAAGUGGACUCUGCAAGCCAGGUCUGCGUUUUGGACUCUCUCCAGUUGGUCUACAGCUUUCCUGAAGAGCAAUACCCAUCUUCUAGCCUGUUGCUAAACAUCUGAGUAGAGCAGAGCAUACUGGUUAUCCCCUACAAAUACCCCCAGGAAAUGAGACGUGUAUUUCAAGCCUGGAGAAGCAGACAAUGGGCAGCAACCUGGCCUAAGAUUUAUGGAAGCUUAAGUCAGCAGGAUUCAGAAGCCAAGAAUCACUACAUAAUAACUGGUGACUCCUGUGUCACACACAGAUGAUCCCAUCCAAACCCCUUGGACACUUGCACCGUGAUGCUUGUGAGUAUGCGAGUGUGAGAGUUUGAGUGAAUGAAAUCUAUCAGAUUAUUAUGAGUAUAUAAAAUAAAUUUACUUAAAGAUUUUGUAAAUAACUAUCA
rnacentral:lncRNA from 1 species